rnacentral:rRNA from 1 species
UACGGGGGGGGCAAGCGUUGUUCGGAAUUACUGGGCGUAAAGGGCUCGUAGGUGGCCAACUAAGUCAGACGUGAAAUCCCUCGGCUUAACCGGGGAACUGCGUCUGAUACUGGAUGGCUUGAGUUUGGGAGAGGGACGCGGAAUUCCAGGUGUAGCGGUGAAAUGCGUAGAUAUCUGGAGGAACACCGGUGGCGAAGGCGGCGUCCUGGACCAACACUGACGCUGAGGUGCGAAAGCAUGGGGAGCAAACAGGG